UGACCGGUUUCAUCAAACCCGGGGCACUGCUUCCAUCAGGUGAAGCAGCACACAGUGCAGGACAGAGAUGAAGCUUCCCCUGUGUCUGUGGAUAAACUGCCGUGAAUGUGGGUGACAACUAAGCAGGAAUUCUGUUGGGAGAGUGAAAGGAAAAGGUCCAGCUGGAUCCAGCUUCAGGUGUGACCAAAGGUGACCCCUGGGCUGAGGCUGCAGGAAGGUUUGGGCUGGAAUUUGUUUUCGUGGAACGGGUGAAGACCUUUGGAAAAGAACUUUUGUCAAGGAAACAAACAGUUUAUAAGUAUAUUCUCAAACAAGGAGUUUCUGAGAGCACAGACAGGCUUUUCCCUUUGUUUUUUCAGAAGGAAACAACGCUCUAAUUAUUUAAAGUUGUAUAAAAUGCCCCCCUAUGAACUGUUGGGGGGAAUUUAUUCCGAGUUCAAAAUCAAAAUUAAGUCUUUAAAACUUGUUGGUUGUCCCUCUGCCCUUUUCAUGUGCACGUUGCUGGGGAGUCUGGGAACUAAAAAUAAAUGGAAAUGUUUUGCAGGAUAAAUAUCUUGAGCAUCUUAUCAAACUGGAAAUAAAUUUUAAAUAACAUU